GAUGAACGCUAGCUACAGGCUUAACACAUGCAAGUCGAGGGGCAGCAUGGUCUUAGCUUGCUAAGGCCGAUGGCGACCGGCGCACGGGUGAGUAACACGUAUCCAACCUGCCGUCUACUCUUGGACAGCCUUCUGAAAGGAAGAUUAAUACAAGAUGGCAUCAUGAGUCCGCAUGUUCACAUGAUUAAAGGUAUUCCGGUAGACGAUGGGGAUGCGUUCCAUUAGAUAGUAGGCGGGGUAACGGCCCACCUAGUCUUCGAUGGAUAGGGGUUCUGAGAGGAAGGUCCCCCACAUUGGAACUGAGACACGGUCCAAACUCCUACGGGAGGCAGCAGUGAGGAAUAUUGGUCAAUGGGCGAGAGCCUGAACCAGCCAAGUAGCGUGAAGGAUGACUGUCCUAUGGGUUGUAAACUCCUUUUAUAAAGGAAUAAAGUCGGGUAUGGAUACCCGUUUGCAUGUACUUUAUGAAUAAGGAUCGGCUAACUCCGUGCCAGCAGCCGCGGUAAUACGGAGGAUCCGAGCGUUAUCCGGAUUUAUUGGGUUUAAAGGGAGCGUAGAUGGAUGUUUAAGUCAGUUGUGAAAGUUUGCGGCUCAACCGUAAAAUUGCAGUUGAUACUGGAUAUCUUGAGUGCAGUUGAGGCAGGCGGAAUUCGUGGUGUAGCGGUGAAAUGCUUAGAUAUCACGAAGAACUCCGAUUGCGAAGGCAGCCUGCUAAGCUGCAACUGACAUUGAGGCUCGAAAGUGUGGGUAUCAAACAGGAUUAGAUACCCUGGUAGUCCACACGGUAAACGAUGAAUACUCGCUGUUUGCGAUAUACUGCAAGCGGCCAAGCGAAAGCGUUAAGUAUUCCACCUGGGGAGUACGCCGGCAACGGUGAAACUCGAAGGAAUUGACGGGGGCCCGCACAAGCGGAGGAACAUGUGGUUUAAUUCGAUGAUACGCGAGGAACCUUACCCGGGCUUAAAUUGCAGAUGAAUUACGGUGAAAGCCGUAAGCCGCAAGGCAUCUGUGAAGGUGCUGCAUGGUUGUCGUCAGCUCGUGCCGUGAGGUGUCGGCUUAAGUGCCACAACGAGCGCAACCCUUGUUGUCAGUUACUAACAGGUUCCGCUGAGGACUCUGACAAGACUGCCAUCGUAAGAUGUGAGGAAGGUGGGGAUGACGUCAAAUCAGCACGGCCCUUACGUCCGGGGCUACACACGUGUUACAAUGGGGGGUACAGAGGGCCGCUACCACGCGAGUGGAUGCCAAUCCCCAAAACCUCUCUCAGUUCGGACUGGAGUCUGCAACCCGACUCCACGAAGCUGGAUUCGCUAGUAAUCGCGCAUCAGCCACGGCGCGGUGAAUACGUUCCCGGGCCUUGUACACACCGCCCGUCAAGCCAUGGGAGCCGGGGGUACCUGAAGUGCGUAACCGCGAGGAGCGCCCUAGGGUAAAACUGGUGACUGGGGCUAAG
rnacentral:rRNA from 1 species